GUCCUCGUAGCGCAGUGGUUAGCAUCUGAAGUUUCUUAGCGUUUGAUUUUCCCGAACCACCUAAGACACCAGGAGACGUCGGUUCGAACCCGACCAGGGAUA